AUUCUAUGCCUCCUUUACUUUGAUUCCUUUACUAUCUUCUUAUCAAUUAUUUUAUAAUCAUACAAUAGGUUUUCUUAGCAUAGUACACACCAUUCUACGGUCCAUAAUGGGUAUUUAAUUUCUAGGCUACAUAGUACAGUAGACAGCACAGUUACAGUCAACAGUGUUCGUGUUUGAUGACACCAUCCAACCAUCAUCUAAUGGUGGGUUUCACUUGGGUACGUACAUGUUCAAUCUCUUACGAGGUGUUACCAUCACAGUCAUCUGGAAAAUCCAACGGUGGAUAAGGGUUUCAAGAACAGAGACAUGUUUCUUGGAGUCCACCCCUCUAUUUUAGUAGUGGUGGUAUGAUAUGUAUGAACAUGAAAGUGAAUGGGUUCUUAUUAGAAUAGUAUUUGAUUUGUUUUUUUAGAGAUGAUGAGAGGGAGGGAGGGAGGGAGAGAGAGAGAAAGGUGCAUGGGGUCGUGGUCAUUUCUGGAACUGAGAAACCCCAGCUGGUAGGGGCGGGUCUGCACCUAUCUUUUGUCUUUUUUAACGUUGGCUUUCCACUCUUUUUACUCUUCUUAAUAUAGCCCCCAUACCAUAUCAUUCUCUUCAUCAUCACCAAUCUUUCUCUCUCUCACCAACCCCCUUCAAGAUAGGCGAGACUCUUGGGGGAUAAAGAGAAUAGUUUGAGAAUCACCGGCACGCACACACACGAAAUCAAAUUCCAUAUAUCUCCCUCUUUCACUUGGAAGAAUUGAUCAAGAUUUGCUAACAAAGGUAGCUUCUUUUUUGAGGGGAAUGUUGUCUGGCUCGAGGACUUUUUGUUCAUCAAUCUAAUCGAACUUUCUACCUGUAGAUCUAGUAUCUUAUUUAAGAUUGAUCACGUAUUAGGGUUGUCGGACCAGGCUUCAUUCCCCCCAAUCAUUGCUUCCAUCUCAAGGGCUUGAUCAUGGGCUGUUGCAUGUACAGGUUUGAUUUUUAAUCAUCCUUUUUUUUUCUUUAAUUGGUUUUGUAUAUCGUAAUUUUGCUCGGGGUAAAAAAACUGGGAGUUUUUUAAUCAUGGGUUUUUUCAUUUUAGUCUUUAGGGUUGUUGGUAUAUAUGCAGAUUGGUGUAAUCAUGAUGUGUUUUGACCAUGCUGAGAACUAAGAAGCUUCAUCAUUACUCUUUUUCUGGUUUUCUUUUUCUCUGAUCAUGUGAUGAUGGUGUUUUUUCUGUCAGUCUACAACCUUCGAAGGCUCGGCAUUACUAGGCAGAUUUUUCCCAUUAUAGCUUCAUCAUGUAUCUGAUCUGUCUGUUUGUGCUAUUUUCAGAUCUGGCUUUCAACUUUUGGUGGAAAUGAUACUUCUAUUCUUCUCUCUUCUUACUCGUUUUGUUUUAUAGUGUCUCAUGCUGCAGUUGUUUCUGAGGUUUGGCUCUGAUCUCCAAAUCAAUAUUUUACAGAGAAAAGGGCAUGUGCUGUGUGAAGAUGUACAAGCAAGAAAGUGAUGCGCUUUCUGUCAUUGUUUGAAGAGUCUCUCGAUUCUCUAUAGAAAGAGAUAGAAAACUUGGUGGUACUGAAAAUCUAGACGUACUUGCAUACUCGUGAUAUGAAUUUUGGAUCCAACAUUUUGGCUCAGAUAUUUAAAGUUUUCUGUAGUCGUGCCCUUGGUUUCUUUGCUUCCUCUUUCAGAAGAGUUUUGCUGUUUUCGAAAAUCAAAGCUUGAUGUUUGAACAUGGGUUCGUAAUUAAAGUCUCCCCGCAAUGUGGAAUAUGGAUGUCAUACUUUUCCAGCGUAAAGCUUGAUGAUUGCUUUCUAGAGGAGCAGUAUGCAGCAUUCAUGGAAACACAACAAUGAAAGAAACUCGCAUAGAGUGAGAGCAAAGGCAAAAGGUCAGGGAGAAGAAGGAGGCAUGGAUAUCCUUUUUAUUCCAUGUCACUGAGUAACCUAACGUUUUUAGUGCUGCAAAAUAUGUUUCAUAUUUUAAAGCUGGUUUGGAAUCUAGGAAGCAAACUCCAUUUUUUAAUGUUAUUACACACACACACAAAUAUAUAUAUGAUUGAUAUAUAUAUAUAUAUAUAUUGUAGCUUGAGAUCAAUCAGACCAAAGACCAAUCUUUAUGGUUUUACCUCCAGGAUAUGGGCGCUUAGACUUCUUUUUUUCUUUUCUACCCUCUUUUCCCGUUUCAGAAUUUUCCUCUAGCCCUUUGUUGAAAAGGGGAUUGCAUGUAUGAAUGCUGUCUCGUAAAGCACCGCCUUUUGGGAAAUUGAAUCUUUUUGACCUUUGCAAACAUAAAGUAAACCACUUUCUCCCAUGCUUUUAUCCGUGAUAUUUUUUGCUUUAGUCUUUGAUUUUGUAGGAGCCGAGGGAGGUCUUUGGCCAUGUUGAUGAAUUCCUAUGAAGGUUUUAAUUAUGACCACAAUUUUCCAUGGUGUGAUUGGUAUGUGUACAACUUGACCAAAACUCUAUGAAAACUUUGUGCCAUUGGAUGAGAAGUUGAGGACCUUGUAAGUAUAUAGCUCCACAAUAGUACUUACAAGUGUAACCUAGAGCCCUAGACCUUGAAAAUUACUGAAGGAUCCAAUGAAACUUUGUCUUUCGCCCUUUUUCACUCCGCUGUCAGGAGUCAGGACAGAGCAUGUUGUGGAAAUUGGGAAGAUGGUAAAGCUACAAUUUUUUUCAGGCACUAUAAUCUUUCCUGUUACAGACAUGAAGUGCAACGACCCCUGCCCUCUCAACCUAGAUUGUCUCUAUGACUUGGGACAAUCUAGGUGGUGGUCCAGUGGUAAGAGCUUGGGACCAAGAGAUUUGCUCUCUUUGUGGUCUCAGGUUCGAGUCCUGUGGUUGCUCAUAUGAUGGCCACUGGAGGCUUAGAUGAUCGUUAACUUCAGGGCCCGUGGAAUUAGUCGAGGUACGCGCAAGCUGGCCCGGACACCCACACUAAACUAAAAAAAAAAUUGUCUCUAUGACUUUCUUGUAAUAUCACUGUUGAAUCUUCUUUUUUUUUUAAUGGGCAGCACGCAUCCUUUUAUAGACUCAUUGACAAAAACUAUAUUGAACAUGUUCAACGCAUCCAAAAACUCCUCGGAAGCGUUUAUUAAGAGAACAUCUCAAAUCCAUUCUUCUAAUCUAAGAAUAUUUAAUCUCAGAACGUUUUUAUUGUUUUUAUUAUAGAAUAUCAAAUUCUUGAAAAUCUGAUAAGUCUUGUUCUUCUUAUUAAAAGAGGAAAGAUUUUCGUUUAUUAAAAAAAACACUAAACCCAUUAGUGUAAGGCUGGACUCGUUGCUAUGUGAAUUGCUACAUUGGAAUGAUAUCUUUGUCUUUCAUGAAAAAAGCCAAAUAGUCUAUCUUCGGGGUAAAUUGAUAUUUUCUAGGGAAUUUAUUUGUCAUUGUAAAGUUCAUUGGAGUUAUAAUGUUCUAUCAACCUUUUUUUCCCAGUUAAAUAACAGAAAUGUUCUUUAAACCUAAAAACAAAUUGAAAGGUUAAGAAGAGUAUUUUUGACAUUCCCUUUUUAAAAUAGUAAAAUUACUUCAUUGUCCUUAAAGGAAAAAAAAUAAAGAAAAUAUCAAGGGAUAUUUUGAUUUUUUCAUAAUGGUUAUUUUGUUUUAAUCUAUUUGAAUUAGAAGCAAAUCAAUAUUUUAACAAAUAAAAAUAUUAAUAAAAAAAGUUGGUGGAUGCAAUGGUGAGUGCACGUCAUCCGCGCUCUUUAAACGAUGUGUGUGUAGCGUCUUAUGGCGGCCAAAAAAACUCAACUACCAUGUUGUUCAAAAUGUGCAGUGGCAACGUAGCUGGUAAGACAACAAAUGUAAUGAUAUUCAUGAAGGUUCGGUGAUGAUUGAAUCUUUUUUCUUCCCCUCUUUUCUCUUCUCACCUUGAAAUCCUUGUUGGGUCAACCAAAUUCAGAUCAGUUGUCCUCUCAUUUAUUUUUUUUCUUUCAUCCGUGGUCCUCCUUCUUUUGAUUAGUCUUUUUUUGUUUUUGGUUUUUUUUUUUGUUUUUUUUUAAUUUCAUCCUUUUCUACUUGGUUUUAUUUUAUUUUUAUAUCAAAUACUCAUUCUUAUCAUUGUUGUUUUUUUUUUAUCAUUUUCUUGAUUUGUUUUUUUUCAAUUUUGUUUCUCAAUAUUUUAUUUCAUUUAUUUUUUUUUCAAUUUUGUUACUCAUUCUUUUAAUUGCUCUUUUUUAAUCCUUUUCUUAAUUUAUUUUAAUUUUCCCUUAACAUUUUAUUUCAUUUAUUUUUUAUUCAAUUUUUGUCCUUAUUCUUUUAAUUUCUUUUUUUUAUUAUUAUUAUUUUAUUUUAUUUUUCAAUUUAGUCUCUCAUUAUUUUCUUUCAUUAGUUUUUAUACCAGAUUUGAUCCUCAUUAUUUUAAUUGUUAUUUAUUUUCUUUUUAAUUUUUUAUGAUUGAUAAUUUUGUUCAUGAUUUUUUGUUUUUUGCCUUCUACUAGAUCAUCCUAAUCUCAUGAUUCGGGUCACUAGUUUUGAAAAUUAGCAUGAUUUAACUUCGGCCUUUUCAUAUAAAAAAAAAUUCAAGUUCAUUUUUUGACAUUAGGUUAUUAGGCCUUGAGCUUUUUAUUUUUUUUUCCUUUCUAUGCGGUUAACUCGGGUUGACUUAUAUUUUUUUUUCAAUUCCAUCCUUUGAUAUCAGGCUACUAGGUCUUGAGCUUUCUGAUUUUUUUUUUAUGCUUUUCCUUUCUAUGGGGUUAUCCUGGGUCGUUGGUUAGUGAAGUUAACCUAGAGUGACUUAGUUUUUUUUCAAUGUUUUUUAUUUAUUUAAAUUCAAUCCUAUUUUUCUAGGUUAUUUAAAAAAAAAUAUUUUUCUUAGUGAAUAUUGAUAUUAGGAAGAAAAUAGGGAAUUAUUAAAGAAUUUUAUAGAAAAAAUCAAGUUGAAAUUCAAAAUCUAUUUUGAAGUUGAAGAUGGCAGAAUUAUAGUUUAGUCCUUAGUUUUGGAAAAUUAUGAUUUUGCCUAUGAAUUCAAAAAAAAUUAUAGCUUCGCCCAUGGUUUUAAAUGGCAAUUUUUUGGAUAGGUUUUGAUAAAUAAUUGAGACUUACUAAUGGUUUAUUAUCAAUUUUAUUUAUUUCAUUUGAAUUUGGAAUUAAUUUUAUUAUAUGUUGAAAUGAGUUUAGAUACUUAAGAAGCCCCACAUAUUGCUUGUUUGUAAAAGAUUGGUUGAACAUUGCUAUUUACAUACUUGUUGCAUAAUUGUGAGUAAUUAAUAUAAAUAUACCUUAAAAGUAUCAAGAAUUUUUUCCAUGCAUUUAUUUUGAAACUGAUAUAUUAAUUGUGAGUAAUCGAUGUAAAUAUUUUUUUAAAGAAUGUUUAUAAAGCAUGUGUGUUUGCGUCCUUAUAUUUAUAUGAAAUAUGAUAUAUGAACUUGGUGUGAUGAUAGGUUAUAUACUUGGUGUGACAAGUUAUAUAUAUGGUGUGAUGGGUUAUGAAAUAGUAUGAAAUUUACUAAUUAAAUCACUAUGUGUGUGUGUGUGUGUGUGUGUUUGAUUUUAUUAUUCUUGAAUAUAUUUAUAUUAGUUAAUCACUAAGUUGUGGAAACUCAUCCUUUUUCCACAAUUAUUUUCUUUCAAGCUUAUAGAUUUAAAAACUGGAGAAAAUAACUUGACAACUAAGAGUUAGAUGUCAAUUUGUUGCUCGUUUGCCUUUUGGUCUUUCUUGAAAACUUUCUAUUGUUUUUUCAUAUUGUGAGUUGUGUAUAUAAAUGAUGUAAAUCUUUAAAAUUACAAUAGAUUUCAAUUGUGAAUUGAGUUCUUGUUCAGAGACAUUAAUAUUUUGUAUAUGUAUAUAUGAUUGAUGUGAUUGAGUGUUUUUAUUUAUUUGAAUUUCUUGUUUGAGAAAUGUUAUAGUUUGAGGCUUCGUAUGGUCAAAGUAGCAUUUAUAUAUUUAGACCAUGUGCCUUUCAUGUUUUGAUUAGGGUGCAAUAGUAAUACCAUUAUUGUGUUUUAGUUCUUGGCUAAAAUGUCAUACUAUGAUUACCAAAUUGGCAAAAACCAAAUCAUGGUAUAGAUAGAAGUCUGUCAGCUAACCUUCAAUAAAAUAAUAUGUUUUGUGUUGGAUGAUUCUUU